rnacentral:rRNA from 1 species
GACGAACGCUGGCGGCGUGCUUAACACAUGCAAGUCGAACGGAAAGGCACUUCGGGUUAGUCGUGUGGCGAAGGGGAGAGUAAGACGUGGACGAUCAGAACUGCACCUUGGGAUUGGUCUGGCAUCAUGGGACUAAUACUAAUUACGACUAUGAGCUCCUUCAGGUGUGGGGGAAUGGUAUUGCGGUGGUGGAUGGGCCCGCGGCCUAUCAGCUUGUUGGUGGGGUAAUGGCCUACCAAGGCCAAGGCGGGUAGCCGGCCUGAGAGGGUGACCGGCCACAGGGGGCCUGAGAUACGGCACAGACUCCUACGGGAGGCAGAAGUGGGGAAUAUUGCACAAUGGGCGGAAGCCUGAUGCAGCGACGCCGCGUGAGGGAUGACGGCCUUCGGGUUGUAAACCGCUUUCGAUAGUGACGAAGCGAAAGUGACGGUACCUAAAGAAGAAGCACCGGCUAACUACGUG